rnacentral:lncRNA from 1 species
AUGUUUUUCUUUAAGAAUCAUCUUUUUUGUUUUGUUAUGACUUUUGUGAUGGUUAAGAAUUUGAUUAUUAGAAAUAACAGAAUUUGAUAUGACGUUGCUUUUCAAAACCUUUAAAAGGUCUAAUUAAUUUGCUUGUAGUUUUUGCAUGACCCUUUUUGGAUGUAUACAAGUUAACUUUAAUGAAAUGACUAUAAACUUCCAUUAAAAUUUCAACCAUUUUUUUUUGUAAAAAAAGAUAAAAAUAAAUUUUAAUUAUCAAAAUCACUAUAAUUACUUAAUUGACAUUCAACAUCAUAAAAAGUUACAACCUAUUUUUUAAUUCAUGUUGACACUAUCAUUACUAUACAAAAAAUAUACAUAGAAUACAGAUAUUCUGUUUAUUGUUUGAAUUAUUUAUGAAAAAUACUCAUAAAGCCAAUCAUGGUGUUUUUAUGCCAACAAAGUCUACUUAAGUGAGCUCAUUUUACAAAUUUAUUAUGCCAAGGCUUUUCUAAUGACUUUAAAUCUUAACUAUGAUGCAUCAAGUAAAGAAGCAUGCAUUUGAAAGAGAUAACAUCACUGAUGUGAGACAGAAAUUAGAAUUUGGAGGAGUGGUGAUUCUGCGAAAUUAACUUAAAAGUGACUAAAAACACCAACAUAUGUGAAAAUACCAUAUUACCACAAGAAGAAGAAGAAAAGAAAUUAACAGAAGACAAGUCAAAGGUAGAAAGUAGAAACCAGCAAACCGAAAAAGCUCACCUCAAAUGAGCAUUGUUGCACAUCUGUCGAUAUGCCUACUGAUGGAAAAACGAAAUGAAGCGGCUUCUUUCGAACUCUUGCGUGCUCCUUCUAACAGCAAUGAAUGCCAUACUUAUCAACCAAUUCUAAAUAUCCAUAUCAAUACAUUAAAAUUUUGUUUCAGAUCCAGUUAGGUUGCUGUUCGCCACUACAAGAUAGAGAGGGUCAGGUGUAAUCCUCAAAUUCAAAAUACACAUCACCACAGAGAACGACUGCAGUGUGAGCGACAUACUGCUGUGACAACGAUGCUUACAGUAUCAAGACAGAUUUUCACAACAGUCAUAACCGAGGAUCUGGAACAACCUGAAACGAAGCGCACUCCCAAUCCGCACCGAUUGGACAAGUACAGUAAUCAAGAUUAACGAGCAGAAAUCAUUUAGCAAAAACCUCGGUGCGAUCGCAUAAUCUUCCAUUUUCUUGCACAAAAAUAUAAGCCACCGAUAGACGAAGAAUACACAAAUAAGCGAAACGUGAGGGCCAGAGUGCCCCCCGGAACUCAACAUGAAACGGAAUCGCAGUGAGCCUCCGUCAGGCGCCACAAGAGAGCAACAAGCGCGCGUAAUUCAAACUUCAAAUAUUUGGAAGCGGGCAGGGGAAGGGGCAGACCGAAAACACUCGAUCCAGCAAAGCAAGCGGGCAGGAGGGGCAGGUUGCCAGAGAACCCGGAAGAAACCGCCUGAGACGGUCACCUGCUCCCGUCUGCCGGUCCCGCUACUUUUCUGAACGCGCGCUUCGCAAGUUUCCAGGCACCCGACCCGGUCCAGCGUGACCCG